AAUUGCAUUGAGUCGUGUGAUAUUGUUGUUGGCACGGUUCGAGACGUGGAUUCUAGUUGUUGACACCACUACAGGUUCCAGUGCGAGCGGUGUGGCCGAGGAUCGUGGCAAGAGCCCUGCAGCCUAGCUAGUUGACACCAGAGUAUAGUAGUUUACCAUUUUGGAUUUCAUGUGAUACAUUUUGAUGUACGGAAACUUGUAAAUGAGUGUAUAAAGAGCAUGUAAAUAACUAAAUGUUUCAGUUAUUCAGUUAUGUAUGUUCAGUUUAAAAGUUUUAAAUUACAGUGAA